UGUGAAAAGUGUAACUAACGUCAGCGGGUUGCUCGGAAUGACUGCUCCCACCGCGCGUUCAAGUUCUCCUCCUGGAAACGCGAGGACUCUCUCUGCGGGACACCGAGGGCCUGUUAAUCUCAGCGGGUGAAGAGGACUGGCGUCUGGGAGACCCGCCAAUAGAAAAAGCCCCUGGGGCUGCUUGCUAACGAGCUCAUCCAUCCAGGCAGGUUAAAUGACCGGCAACUGGGUCGCCCGCAGACACAGCUGAAGGUUAGAGAGCCAAACCUGUGUGACCGUAACCGUGACGGUUUCUUCUACACGUGAUUCACAGUGGGGAGGGCGGGAGAAUAGACUAGAAGGGAGAGAAUGCCUCUUUUUCUUUCUUUUCUAGUAGUGGGUGUGGUAGAGCCUGAGCAUCAAGUCAGAAAUGUAUUUCUCAGAAAUCUAAAAAUAAAGUGUCAUAGAUUUAAUUCUUAAUAUUUCAAAACGAUUUUUGACUUGCACCAUCUAACUAAUUUCAUUGAUUAUAAGAUGGCAAGCCUCUUGUUAGUGAAUGAACAUAUGGUCUUGGGGGUGUUCCCCCAUCCCCCCAAUAUAGGCAGAAAACAGAACGCUGGGAUUUGCUGUCUGACAAGUAUAUGCGAUCUUUGGCAUCCUUUUUUCUGUUUAUGCAUUAAGAGAGGCCACAUGGAAAUGUGGAUGAGGCAUGGCAUUCCAAGAUGUCAAUAAAUACCAAACACGAAAAACUAAACUACUUGUUUGGGAUGAAUGCUGUUCUUUGCCUCUUGGUUUCAACUCAGAAAGUUGAGAAGGAAGGGAGGGAGAGGGGCAGGAAGGAAGCCUCUUCAGAGGGCAUGCUGUAAUGCGUUCCUGCUUUCCACGUGCACUCACUGGUGACUUUCUUCUUUAGAACUCUGUUUUUAUCUUUGUUCUCUUUAUACCCUCUUUCAACAUUUUUCAGCUUAAAAAUGGGUGAGGAGGCACAGAGCCCCUCUUAGGGUGGGCAAGGAGCAGAAACACCAUUUGUUUCUGGCCUCAUGGACAUCAAGGGCCUCACAUAUGGCCUUUGGGCAUCAUCUCCAGAUGAGUACCCACAUGGGGUCACUGAAUUUGUGCAUACAUGUCAAGAGCAUUGGUUUAUUAAAGGAUCUUUAAAACACACCACCAUUCGAAUUCUUGUAACUGUUUUGGCAUGUCUUCAUUUCAAAAAUAGGCUCAGAGCGCUCACUGAAGUAAUUUAGGCCUCUUUCACCCUCUGUGAAAGUGCACCGAGGUGCGCUGUCAUCCGAAGCACAGAAGCAGAGAGUAAUCGUUCCUGCACACAGCACUAUCCUCGUUGAACUAGGGUGGGGUGUAGAAAUUCUUCGCCUGUGAAUAUAUAUAUUCGUCCCCACUUAGAAGCCAAAGGAAAGAUGACGGAGUCUCCGUCGUAGGCGCACCCUUGGUCUCCAGGAAGACUUUCUGCGCUCUGUUCACAGCCUUCUCCGGAGCCGCCAGUGGAGUCUGUGGGUUCGGGGCCGAGGUGGCUGGUCCCCGCCAGGCUCCAUCCUCCCUGCGCCCUGCGACCCCUCACGCAGGCCGGCGCGGGGUUUCCUUACUCUGUUCCCUCCUCCUCGAAGGACAGCCGCACCACCAACCACAGACGGCCCUUGUUAAAAGGAAACGUGACGAACCACGGCUGUUUCCCCUUUGAGAUAAUGCCCACGCCCGGAGAGGUGCCCAACCUGGGGUGGGUUAUCACAGAGGGGUUUAGAUGGAGCCGGCGCUGGCGACCGCGUCCAAGCAGCCCAGAGGAAAUGCGGGAUAGUUAGAAGAAGAAAACGAGGUUGGGGACCUUGAUAGCGGCUUUUCAUCUUCGGAUGCCCUAGAGUAGCCGAGGAGAUAGGGGAAGGGGUUCCCGGUGGGAGCAGACCACGGGCUACUGGAGAAGACCACUGGUUACUGGAGGAGACUGCGACCUGCGGAGGGAAGGGCAGUGUCGCCUCCCUCCCCGGUCAGUGCCGCCACCAGAGUCUCGCUCCUGCGGUCACGGUCACGGAGACUAUCCCAAGGGCCCGGGGGCUGCCGCUGCCAGCGCCGCGCUAGGGCAGGAGGAUCCAAAGUUGAGAGUAGGACCCCUAAAAGUCUCCCUUCUGUUUUGGAUUCCUGGUUCCAGGAGAGUUGGGCCAAUUGCCUGUCUUACUGAAUUCUGGAGCAGGUGGCUCAGAUCUGUAGAAGGGGAUGACAGAGGAUGAGAUGGUUGGGUGGCAUCGCCGACUCUAUGGACAUGAGUUUGAGCAAGCUCUGGGAGUUGCUGAUGGAUAGGGAAGCUGGCAUGCUGCAGUCCAUGGGGUCGGAAAGAGUCGGACAUGACUGAGUGCCUGAACUGAACUGCUCUAGGUUCAUCCACCUCUGCUGCUGCUGCUGCUAAGUCGCUUCAGUCAUGUCCGACUCUGUGCGACCCCACAGAUGGCAGCCGAAGAGGUUCCCCCGUCCCUGGGAUUCUCCAGGCAAGAACACUGGAGGGGGUUACCAUUUCCUUCUCCAGUGCAUGAAAGUGAAAAGUGAAAGUGAAGUCACUCAGUCGUGUCCAACUCUUAGCGACCCCAUGGACUACAGCCCACCAGGCUCCUCCGUCCAUGGGAUUUUCCAGGCAAGAGUACUGGAGUGGGGUGCCACUGCCUUCUCCACAUCCACCUCACUAGAACUGAUUCAAAUGACUGAGGAUUAUUCCAUUAUAUAUGUAUGUGUGUGUGUGUAUAUUUAUAUAU
ensembl:lncRNA